CUGAACAGCACAACUGUAAAGGAGGAAAAGUUUAUUUGGGCACUCAUGGUUUUCUAAGGUCUCAAUCCAUAGACAGCAGGCUCUACUCCUCAAGGCUUGAGGUGACACAGAACAAUAUUGAAAAAUAGUGUGGCAGAUGGAGGCAGCUCACAUGAUAAUCACAUGGCAGAGACAGACUCCACUCUCCAGAUACAAAAUAUAUAUCCCAUAGCCAUGUCCCCAGUGAGCCACAUCCCACCUGCCUCCGCUACCACUCAAUCCCAUCAGGGAUUAAUUCACUGGUUAGGUUAAGGCUAUAACCCAACCAUUUCUCCUCUGAACCUUCUUGCAUUGUCUCACAUGUGAGCUACAUCUAAACCCUAACAGGACUAUAGCUGUGUACCACAGCACCCAGCUUCAGCAAUUUAGAAUUGCAGGAAAGCCAUCCACAGAUUAGAAGCUGAGAGCAUGCCUCCCUUGCAUGUGGGCAGCUCCCCAGAAGACAGAACAGAGAAUUAGAAGAUGGAAUGCUGCAGCUGAACACUGCUAAGGAAGCUCACCUACCUCAGAAGGAAAGAGCUCCCUUAGGAAGGUCAGCCAAGUCCUGGCCAGGGGCACUUGUGACUCCAUUAGAGCCCACCUGGAUAAUCCAGGACAAUCUCCCCACCUCAGAAUCCUAAUCACAGCUGCAAGUCCUUUUCUUGCCAUAUAAAGUAACACACACAAGUUUCAAGAAUGAGGAUGUCGACCAUCCCACCAUACUCCCUAUGGAAACAGAGGAAGGACGAGAUGUCUAGAGCCAUGGCAACCGACCAACAACCAGAAGAGUGCAAGUCUAAGGAUACUGGAAGAGAAAUAAGGCAGACGGCUGAACUCUGGAUGGCAUGUUGUGUUCCUGGCAUAAUUAAAUCUGGAAUGAUCCACCCUGUGUUUACUUUUAAAAUUUCAUCUGCACUCCUCUCAAGAUGUUUUGAACUUAAGGAUGCAGAGAGGGCCUGAAGCUGCAUUCACUCAUGGGUUCACAGGUAUUGUUCCCUGUCCCCUUAAAAAGAUGGAUAAUUUUCGUGCUUCUUCCAAAUCAUCCUGACAUCCUGAGCCUCAUUUGUCCCAGUCUUUGUUAUAAGAAACUCAAAAAAAAAAAAAAAAA